rnacentral:lncRNA from 1 species
CUGGUUGCUAUCAUAGCAAAAAGUAGAAUGGAAUUUUAAUGGUACCUGAAAGCUGCUGCCAGAGCCGAAGACAAAUGGCUAAAUUUAUAUUAUAUUUCUCUCAGUCCUCAGCAUGUACAGUCCUGUAUCAGUGAGCGGCCAUUUGGCUGUGACUCACAAUGAGAUGACGAGAUGGUCUAGAGGCAUUACUCCAAAAUACACAAGGAUGGGGACACUGAGUUCUCUCCUGUCUCUUGUCAAGUCAGGAGGAUGUGAAGGCCUGGGAAGGAGCUGGGGAUGGGGAGAAGCUGGGCAGAGACAGAGAGGACUCUCCUUUUCUCAGGGGGCCUUGGAGUCCUUCAAAGAGAAGGGGUGCCUUCCAAGGAGUGAGGUCAACUUCAUUGCCAUAAGCAACACCUCUGCUUUUCCUUCUUUUUGAGAAAGUAAUACACAUUUA